ACACUUACCUGAUAGAUGCAUACCGUGAUCCUGUAGGCGGUUCCUCCAGGGCGAGGCUGCUCAAUGGCACUGCGGAGUAGUUGACCCUUGCGAUUAUUAUAAUUUUUAUAAAUAAAAAAAUCAUAAUAAAAAAUGUAUACUCGAAUAAUUAUUUUCUUUAUAUC
rnacentral:snRNA from 1 species